GAUGAACGCUGGCGGCGUGCUUAACACAUGCAAGUCGAACGAAGCAUUUGCGACAGAUUUUUUCGGAAUGAAGUUGCUUAUGACUGAGUGGCGGACGGGUGAGUAACGCGUGGGUAACCUGCCUUGUACUGGGGGAUAGCAGCUGGAAACGGCUGGUAAUACCGCAUAAGCGCACAAUGUUGCAUGACAUGGUGUGAAAAACUCCGGUGGUAUAAGAUGGACCCGCGUCUGAUUAGCUAGUUGGUGAGAUAACAGCCCACCAAGGCGACGAUCAGUAGCCGACCUGAGAGGGUGACCGGCCACAUUGGGACUGAGACACGGCCCAGACUCCUACGGGAGGCAGCAGUGGGGAAUAUUGCACAAUGGAGGAAACUCUGAUGCAGCGACGCCGCGUGAGUGAAGAAGUAAUUCGUUAUGUAAAGCUCUAUAAGCAGGGAAGAUAGUGACGGUACCUGACUAAGAAGCUCCGGCUAAAUACGUG
rnacentral:rRNA from 1 species